rnacentral:misc_RNA from 1 species
GAUGAAGAACGCAGCGAAAUGCGAUACGUAAUGUGAAUUGCAGAAUUCAGUGAAUCUUCGAGUCUUUGAACGCACAUUGCGCCCCCUGGUAUUCCGGGGGGCAUGCCUGUCCGAGCGUCAUUGCUGCCCUCAAGCCCGGCUUGUGUGUUGGGUCUCGUCCCCCUUCCCGGGGGGACGGGCCCGAAAGGCAGCGGCGGCACCGCGUCCGGUCCUCGAGCGUAUGGGGCUUUGUCACCCGCUCUGUAGGCCCGGCCGGCGCUUGCCGAUCAACCAAAACUUUUUUCCAGGUUGACCUCGGAUCAGGUAGGGAUACCCGCUGAACUUAAGCAUAUCAAUAAGCGGAGGA